AUAUCGUGGGAUCAAGGCCCGCUUUUCUAG
rnacentral:tRNA from 1 species